ACCACACAGCUGCUCACACACCAUCCCAUCACCCCCAGUGGGAGGGGAAAAGAAAGGGCAGAAGCAAGAAAAUGCAGUCAGGAGAAAACAGUUUGGUCUAAACCAUUGCACCACACAGGAAAGCUGGGAAGAAAAUUAACUCCAUCUCAGGCAGUGUCAGUACACACAGAUGGAAGGAGAUCACAACAGGGAUGAAGAGUGGAGAGACAAAAAUCACAGACUACACAUCAGAAAAUGACAUGCUUCAAACCAACAGAGUAACGUUUGCUGUUUACACUCCGCUCCAUCUCAAAAUCAGCACCUAAACAAGUGAAAAACAGUGCAGCCCACAUGCCACUCUGCUCAGAAAAGGUUUUGGAAACUGAAUCUUACUGUUUUAUUUAGUUCCCAUCACUGUGGUAACAAAGCACUGCGCAACAUUAAGUACUGAGUACAAAUUUAAGUGCUACGGAGCUCUCAGUCCAGGCUUUCCUUGCACUGCAGCAGCAGUUCCAGGCCCUCGUUGUUCAGGGCCUUUAUGGACUAAGUGAGUCCAUGCAGGUCAUGCAGAUACAGAGACUGCUGCAAAAAUGAAAUUUACAGUGAUAGAUGGAGAAUGGUGCAACAUGAGUCACAAGCAAAAGGCACAGCAAAUUGGCCACUGUGGAAUAUGUUUCCCAGUAAAAAAAAAAAAAAAAAAAAAAAGAGGUUUGAGGAAGAUUAAAGAGAGGCUUUGUGU
ensembl:lncRNA